rnacentral:rRNA from 1 species
AACGUAGGGGGCCCAGCGUUGCUCGGAAUUACUGGGCGUAAAGGGUUCGUAGGCGGUGCGGCAAGUCGGGAGUGAAAUCCCAGGGCCUAACUCUGGGGCUGCUCCCGAAACUGCUGUGCUCGAGUGCGGGAGAGGCGAGUGGAAUUGCAGGUGUAGCGGUGAAAUGCGUAGAUAUCUGCAGGAACACCCGUGGCGAAGGCGGCUCGCUGGACCGCAACUGACGCUGAGGAACGAAAGCUAGGGGAGCAAACAGGAUUAGAAACCCUGGUAGU